UACGUAGGGUGCGAGCGUUUAAUCGGAAUUACUGGGCGUAAAGCGUGCGUAGGCGGUUCGUCAAGUCUGACUGUGAAAGCCCCGGGCUCAACCUGGGAACUGCAUUGGAAACUAGCGAGCUUGAGUGUGGCAGGAGGGGGGUGGAAUUCCACGUGUAGCAGUGAAAUGCGUAGAGAUGUGGAGGAACACCGAUGGCGAAGGCAGCCCCCUGGGCUAACACUGACGCUCAGGCACGAAAGCGUGGGGAGCAAACAGG
rnacentral:rRNA from 1 species